GGUGUGGUGGGUGCUUUGUGCCAUCUCCUGUUUCCCCAUCAGGUGCAGGAGCAAAGUGGAAAAGUCCUGCGGAGUUUUUCUUCUCUGAUACAGGGGACGCACAAGCAAAUGAUCUUUUUCUGAGAAAACACAUUGAGAGCAAUUUCCCGACCCCCACCCCUCUAAGGUCCACCCAGGACCCCUAAGGUUCUCCAGGCUGCUGGCUGGAAAACUGACCUUUAAAACUCUUGUUCAUGUACAGCCACAAUUUCAGUUCAAUUCCAGCCUGGCCUGGCAUGGAAAACCAGAAAGUUCCUGUAAGAAAUAUUUUUAAGGGUCUGCAUACCUCACAGGAAGCCUUCAGAUUGCAAACAUGUGUCGAAACUGCUGACUUGGAGCAAAUGGAUCAAAUUACUCAGUCUGGAUUGGAGAGCCUGAUUUCUGCACCAGGGAGGCUUGCUAUGUGAAUGUGCGCCAGGUUGAAUGGAGUCUCUGGCUUCAGAUGGAUUCAAGCUGAAAGAGGCUUCUUUUGCCAUGAGCCCUUCAAGCAAAGACAAGAAAUAAUCUUAUUGCUCUUUUCACAUCCCAAGUACCUGACACAAAGGAAGGUGGAGGAAAGACAGUCAGUGGCUGUGGAAUUGCAGUAUACAUGCAAUAGGGCCUGCCUUCUCUUCAAGCCUUCCUCAACAAGCUUUGGUUUUCUUCUUUUAAGCUUCAGAGAACAUUUAAAAAGCACACAGCAACAGUAAUUUCAUCAGCUUGUGAAAGAGGAUGUCAAAAGAGAAAAACCAGGGCAGAGUUGACACAAAUAAUCAGAGGAUGUCCCCAUUAUAAUUACAGCAACAUGGAUUGAGUUAUGCCAGCCCCUGAGAUGAAUUUGAUUUCCUCAUUACACGUGUAAUCUUAAUCAUCCUCUCAGCAUCCCUUUUCUGUUUGGUAUUUCACAUAUGGGUCUGAUGUCUCCCUGCUUUGUAGUUGGUAAAAACUAAUCUUCAGAAUGGGCUAGUGGCUUGAGCCAUCUCACAUAGCAAGACAGGCACUGAGAGGUGGGCAUAAAAUAAGCACGAUUAGCUUUUAAUUACUUCAAUAAAGUCAAGAGCUCACCAUUACCAGAAUAUCCUAUUAACUAUUUAUUGAACCUUUAUUGUGUGCCAAGAACUUUACAUGCAUUAUCCUUUCUCCCAAUCUUUAUUUUGAAAACAUUUAAAAUCUGAACAGCUGGAAGAAUAUACAAUGAAACAUCUAGUUUCACUAAUGGAUUUAUUUUGUACACCUAGUUCCUUACAGUUAGUUUCACAUUAUUGUCUUAUUUCUCUCUAAAUGUAUUGGAAAACAUUUAAUAACAUGACAUUAUGACUUUGCUCCUAAAUACUCCAGCAUACAUCUCUUCAGAGGAAGAGCAUUCUCUUACAUGACUAAGGUACAAUGACCAUACUCAGGAAAGGUAACAUUGAAAUAAUUUCAUUAUCUGUUACAUAAUCCUUAUUCAAAUUUUCCCUAUUUUCUCAAUAACUCCUCCCUCCCUCCCUCCCUCCCUCCCUCCCUCCCUCCCCACUUCUCUCCCUCCCUCCCUCUCUUACUCCCCUUUUUCUCAAUUCUGGACCUAACAGAGGAUCACACAUUGCAUUUACUUUUUGUAAUUAGAAUCACUUCCCAGCCAUUCCCCUCAACCCUGUUUCAUGACAUUGACAGUUUUGAAGAAUUCAAGCUACUUGUUUUGCAAAAUGCCUUUAGUUUAGAUUUGUGUGAUAUUUCCUCAUGGAAAGAUUCAGGUUAAAUAUUGUUAGCAAGAAUAUUGCAUAAGUGAUAUUGUGUCCUCCUUUCAUCCCAUCGAGGGCAUACAAUGUCAUUGUGUCCCGUCACUGAUGACGUAUAAUCACUAGGCUAAGACAGUGUUUGCCAGAUUUCUACCAUGUGGAGCUACUGUUUUCCUUCGUAAUUAACAAGUAAUCUCUAGAGCGAUACUUUGAGGUUGUGUGACUACCCCCCAUCAGGCUUUUGUCUAGUGUUUUUAGUAUCCACUGGUGAUAAGUAUUUAUUAUCAUUUUAAAGUCUCACCAUAACCCUGUGAGGUAGAUACUAUUAUGAGUCAUAUAUUUACAAUGAAGAAAUUGAGUUUUAGAGAGAUGAAGAAACUUACCCAAGGUCUCACAGCUGGUGAAGGACAGAGCUGAGAUUCCAGCCCACAUCUGGCUGUCUCUAAAGCUAGUGCUUUCCCUACUACGCUGCACUGGCUGAAAGUAGAGUUUCGUAUCUCACUUGCCCUAGACAAGGCAAGAGAAAAGUGAUAGUCAAGAUCAUAUAAGACACAGUUUAUUUCACCUCUCAACAAGUCUCUUUCCUCUUAUUUCCUAAACACUUUUCCCCCCACAAAGCCAGAUGCCUCUCAGUUCACUCUUGUCUGACUGUUAACCUGGAAUGUGGUGAAUAAAUUACGUUUUAGUCCAAUGGACCUUACGAUGUGGAGUUCUGCUCUGAUUCCAUCCCACGGUGCCCAGGAUCAGCUGCUUGCCAGCGCCACACUGGGAGUGAUGGUUGUUCAUUCUUAACCAGCAUUCAUUAUCCUCCUGCUGUAUGCCAGAUCCUGUGCUGACUAUAAUGGGAAUUAAGCAAAAAGAAACACAGUGUCAGCCUUGAAGGAGGCCACUGUUCAGCUGACCGAUGGCACAGUUCAGGUCAAUUAGGAAACAUCUGCUUACCUACCAGUGAACUGAUGUAAUGACUUCAUACAGCGUGGCUUUAGGAUAUGCUGGACUUCCCAGGUUCAUCCAUGUCCCUACAAAGGACACGAACUCAUCGUUUUUGAUGGCUCGGAUUGUAGAGAAAGGCCAGGCGAGUCACGCUCCUAAACAGCUCAUCGGGUCCCAGGAGCCGCUUCUCCACCUUGUUCCUACAUCCGCCCGCCGACUUCGCCGGAUCCGAGGUUCUGCAACUUGUCUCCUCCGGCUUGAUGUUAUCCUCCUUGUCCGAGGAGCCUGAGCUGCUGCUCCCGGACACCGCGAAAUAGCUCAGAGGGUCCUUCUCCUUGGCUGCCAUGACGGCUGCCUGGGUUCAUUUCUCUUGAUUUCCUUCCGCUUUCAGAUUGUAGCACUACCACAUUUCAUUGUCUUGAUCGUCUUUCAGUUGACUUCAAACAAAUAUUGUUGUAUGUUGUCCAGUUUUUUUUAGUUCUCCAGGGAGUCAAGUUCAGCACCAACCUAGCAAGUACAUACUGGAGGUGGAACUCUCAACAAUACAACAUUUUUUUGUGGGAAAAAAAGCUGUACGUGCUGUAUGGUACAAGCUUAGUUAAAACUAAAAGCAUGUGAUAUGCGCUAUGGCUUGUGUGUUUCCCCAGAUUUCAUGUUUUUGAGACUUGAUCCCUGAAUUCACAUGUAGACGAUAUUUGCAGGUGGGGCCUUUGGGAGAUAACUAGGACUAGAUAAAGUCAUCUUAUCUAAUGGGUCAAGGGGCCCCACGAUGGAACGAACUGGUGGGUUAAUAAGAGGAGAAAGAGAGACCUGAGUUGUCAUGCCCUUGCCCUCUCGCCGUGCUGUGAGGCAGGAAGGAGGCACUCACAAGAUGCCAGCACCUUCAUGUUAGACUUCCCGGACUCCAGAACUUGAGAAAUAAAUUUCUUUUCUUUAUAAACGAAA